rnacentral:sRNA from 1 species
CUUGGUCAUUUAGAGGAAGUAAAAGUCGUAACAAGGUCUCCGUAGGUGAACCUGCGGAGGGAUCAUUACAAGAACGCCCGGGCUUCGGCCUGGUUAUUCAUAACCCUUUGUUGUCCGACUCUGUUGCCUCCGGGGCGACCCUGCCUUCGGGCGGGGGCUCCGGGUGGACACUUCAAACUCUUGCGUAACUUUGCAGUCUGAGUAAACUUAAUUAAUAAAUUAAAACUUUUAACAACGGAUCUCUUGGUUCUGGCAUCGAUGAAGAACGCAGCGAAAUGCGAUAAGUAAUGUGAAUUGCAGAAUUCAGUGAAUCAUCGAAUCUUUGAACGCACAUUGCGCCCCCUGGUAUUCCGGGGGGCAUGCCUGUUCGAGCGUCACUUCACCACUCAAGCCUCGCUUGGUAUUGGGCAACGCGGUCCGCCGCGUGCCUCAAAUCGUCCGGCUGGGUCUUCUGUCCCCUAAGCGUUGUGGAAACUAUUCGCUAAAGGGUGUUCGGGAGGCUACGCCGUAAAACAACCCCAUUUCUAAGGUUGACCUCGGAUCAGGUAGGGAUACCCGCUGAACUUAAGCAUAUCAAUAAGCGGAGGAAAAGAAACCAACAGGGAUUGCUCUAGUAACGGCGAGUGAAGCAGCAAUAGCUCAAAUUUGAAAUCUGGCGUCUUCGACGUCCGAGUUGUAAUUUGUAGAGGAUGCUUCUGAGUGGCCACCGACCUAAGUUCCUUGGAACAGGACGUCAUAGAGGGUGAGAAUCCCGUAUGCGGUCGGAAAGGCGCUCUAUACGUAGCUCCUUCGACGAGUCGAGUUGUUUGGGAAU